rnacentral:rRNA from 1 species
AUUGAACGCUGGCGGCAGGCCUAACACAUGCAAGUCGAGCGCGAAAGUUCUUCGGAAUGAGUAAAGCGGCGGACGGGUGAGUAACGCGUGGGAAUCUGCCUGGUAGUGGGGGACAACGUUCGGAAACGAACGCUAAUACCGCAUACGCCCUACGGGGAAAGGGGGGAGUCUUCGGACCUCUCGCUAUCAGAUGAGCCCGC